rnacentral:rRNA from 1 species
CCUACGGGUGGCAGCAGUCGAGAAUCAUUCACAAUGGGGGAAACCCUGAUGGUGCGACGCCGCGUGGGGGAAUGAAGGUCUUCGGAUUGUAAACCCCUGUCAUGUGGGAGCAAAUUAAAAAGAUAGUACCACAAGAGGAAGAGACGGCUAACUCUGUGCCAGCAGCCGCGGUAAUACAGAGGUCUCAAGCGUUGUUCGGAAUCACUGGGCGUAAAGCGUGCGUAGGCUGUUUCGUAAGUCGUGUGUGAAAGGCGCGGGCUCAACCCGCGGACGGCACAUGAUACUGCGAGACUAGAGUAAGGGAGGGGGAAACGGAAUUCUCGGUGUAGCAGUGAAAUGCGUAGAUAUCGAGAGGAACACUCGUGGCGAAGGCGGGUUCCUGGACAUUAACUGACGCUGAGGCACGAAGGCCAGGGGAGCGAAAGGGAUUAGAUACCCGGGUAGUC